rnacentral:rRNA from 1 species
CCUACGGGAGGCAGCAGUGGGGGAUAUUGCACAAUGGGGGGAACCCUGAUGCAGCGACGCCGCGUGGGUGAAGAAGGGCCUCGGAGCGUAAAGCCCUGUUAGCAGGGAAGAAAAUGAGGGUACGUGAAGAAGAAGCCCCGGCUAACUACGUGCCAGCAGCCGCGGUAAUACGUAGGGGGCAAGCGUUAUCCGGAUUUACUGGGUGUGAAGGGGGCGCAGACGGCGAUGCAAGCCAGGAGUGAAAGCCCGGGGUCCAACCCCGGGACUGCUCGUGAAACUGCCUGGCUGGAGUGCAGGAGGGGCAGGCGGAAUUCCUGGUGUAGCGGUGAAAUGCGUAGAUAUCAGGAGGAACACCGGUGGCGAAGGCGGCCUGCUGGACUGCAACUGACGUUGAGGCCCGAAAGCGUGGGGAGCAAACAGGAUUAGAUACCCUAGUAGUC